UGCAAGUCGACGGUAACGACAGAAACAAUCCUUCGGGUGCGUUUCUGGGCGACGAGUGGCGGAUGGGUGAGUAAUGCAUAGGAAUCUGCCCAGUAGCGGGGGACAACCUGGGGAAACUCAGGCUAAUACCGCGUACGCCCUACGGGGGAAAGCGGGGGAUCUUCGGACCUCGCACUAUUGGAUGAGCCUAUGUCUGAUUAGCUUGUUGGUAGGGUAAUGGCCUACCAAGGCGACGAUCAGUAGCUGGUUUGAGAGGAUGAUCAGCCACACUGGGACUGAGACACGGCCCAGACUCCUACGGGAGGCAGCAGUGGGGAAUAUUGGACAAUGGGCGCAAGCCUGAUCCAGCAAUGCCGCGUGUGUGAAGAAGGCCUGCGGGUUGUAAAGCACUUUCAGUAGGGAAGAAAACCUCAGGGUUAAUACCCCUGUGGCCUGACGUAACCUACAGAAGAAGCACCGGCUAACUCCGUGCCAGCAGCCGCGGUAAUACGGAGGGUGCGAGCGUUAAUCGGAAUUACUGGGCGUAAAGCGCGCGUAGGUGGCUUGGUAAGUCGGAUGUGAAAGCCCCGGGCUCAACCUGGGAAUUGCAUUCGAUACUGCCUGGCUAGAGUAUGGUAGAGGGAAGUAGAAUUCCUGGUGUAGCGGUG
rnacentral:rRNA from 1 species